rnacentral:rRNA from 1 species
AUGGUGGUGUGCGACCCCAUGCACCGGCAGUAUCUCCUGCUCCCCCCGCUCCCCGGCGACCUAGCCAUUUCGAUUGUUGUCGGACUAGCGACUGAAGGGCCGUGCUUCGGGGAAUCCUUCCUCGCCCCUCCUGGCGAUGAAGAGGAGGCGGCUGCUACUACUGAGGAGGGGACGUCAUUCAGAGUGAUCUGGAUGAUGCUGCUCAAAACUAAGCCGAUGGCCGCUGUUUUCUCUUCCUCCACAGGGCAAUGGCGAGCCAUUACAUGCCUGAGCCACAUCGACUCGUUACCUGGCUUUUUGUUAUCGACGUGGAAGUUUUGGUUCGUGUCGCGCCAUUACGCACAUGGUUGCUUCUACUGGGUUUCAGGUACCAGUGAAAAAUUGCUCGUGCUUGACAUCCGGACAAUGGAGUUCUCCAUGGUUGACCACCCACCCUGUCCCAGAUUUUCGGGCGAUGAUGUCGCCAUCGUUGAGGCAGGCCAAGGCAUGACUGUGAUGUUUGUGCCUAAACCUGACACAGGUCGCCGUUUUUAUACCGUUUGGCGAAAGAAUGGUGGGAGUUCCACUCAGUGGCAGAUGGAGAAUGAGCCAUUCUUGCUGGAUUCUGGGUCCUUGAUCAAGGGUGCUGUGGGUAGGCACUUGCUCCUAUAUUAUGUCGGAAGCUCGUCAGUCAAGCAAGGUUGUUACACGCGGGACGUCGACACAUUUCAGUUUGAGAGGGUGUGUGGUUCAUGUCCUGACUCGUCAGAAGCAUAUUGCAACUUACCACCAUCGUUAUUAUCGUCGCCGACAGUGUCAAGUGGUAAACAUUCUGUUGCAUGCUAG